rnacentral:rRNA from 1 species
UACGUAGGGUGCAAGCGUUGUCCGGAAUUAUUGGGCGUAAAGAGCGUGUAGGCGGUUCGGCAGGUCCGUUGUGAAAACUCGAGGCUCAACCUCGAGACGCCGAUGGAAACCCUCGAACUAGAGUCCGGAAGAGGAGAAUGGAAUUCCUGGUGUAGCGGUGAAAUGCGCAGAUAUCAGGAAGAACACCCGUGGCUAAGGCGGUUCUCUAGUACGGUACUGACGCUGAGACGCGAAAGCGUGGGGAGCGAACAGG